rnacentral:lncRNA from 1 species
CGCGGUCGCAGCGGCCCCACGGGGCGCAGGUGGCCUUCGAGGUGUGCGUGCGGCCGGGCUCCUUCCGCCCGGGGCCGCCCUCGCUGCGGCCCCCCGAGGGCCUCGACCCCCGCCUGAGCCCCGCCGAGCUCGAGUGGGUCACCAAGGAGCCCGGCGCCACCGUCCUCUGCGGCCUGCUGGUCCGCGUCGAGUGACCGGCCGCCUCCCCGAGGCCACCGGGGACCUCCUGUGGCCACCGAGGACCCGUCCGUGGCCGUCGAGCACCUCCUGUGGCCACCCAGGACCUCCCGUGGCUACCGGGGACCUCCUGUGGCCACCAGGCACUUCCCGUGGCCACCAAGGACCUCCUGUGGCCACCGAGGACCCAUCCGUGGCCAUUGAGCACCUCCUGUGGCCACCAAGGACCUCCCUUGGCUACCAGGGACCUCCUGUGGCCACCCAGGACCUCCCCUGGCUACUGGGGACUUCCUGAGGCUACCAGGGACCUCCUGUGGCCACCGAGGACCCAUCUUUGGCUACUGGGCACCUCCUGCGGCCACCCAGGAUCUCCCAUGGUUACCGGGGACCUCCCGAGGCCACCAGGGACCUCCUGUGGCCACCAAGGACUUAUCUGUGGCCACUGGGCGACUCCUGCGGCCACCAAGGACCUCCCAUGGCUACCGGGGACCUCCUGUGGCCACCGAGGAGCCAUCCGUGGCUACCAAGGACCCCCUGCAGACCUCGGGGACCUCCAGUGGCUUCCGGGGACCUCCUGUGGCCACCAAGGAUCUCCCACGGCUACCAGGGACCCCCCCACGAACCGCCAAGACCUCCUGUGGCUACCGGGGGCCCAUCUGUGGCCACCAAGCACCUCCCGUGGCCACCAAGGAUCUCCCGUGGCCACCGGGGACCUCCCGUGGCUACCGGGGACCCGUCUAGGGGACCCCACGGCUACCAGGGAGCCCCCGUGGCCACUGGGGACCUCCCGUGGUUACCGGAGAUGCCCUUGUGGCUAGUGGGGAGGCCUCUGUGGCUACCAGGGAGCCCCAGGGACAGCGGGGACCCCCCCCGGCUACUGGGACCCCCCCCAGGGACUCCUCUGGCUCCUGGGGCUACCACAGACCCCUGGGGGCUACCGGGCAGCUUUGCCCCCCCCGAAAAAACUUGCCCCCCCCCCAAAUCGCUGGUAAUGGGGGGGAAGGACUUUGCACACAGACCCCCCCAAAUCAGGGCCCCCCC